rnacentral:rRNA from 1 species
AGGGGGAGUAACAUCCGGAAACGGAAUGCUAAAACCGCAUAGGUCUUCGAGCUGCAUGGCUUGAAGAGGAAAAGAAGGCGCAAGCUUCUGCUGAUGGAUGGGCCCGCGGUGCAUUAGCUAGUUGGUGAGGUAACGGCUCACCAAGGCCGUGAUGCAUAGCCGACCUGAGAGGGUGAUCGGCCACAUUGGGACUGAGACACGGCCCAA